rnacentral:rRNA from 1 species
AGGACGAACGCUGGCGGCGUGUUUAACACAUGCAAGUCGAACGGUGAAGCCUUUCGGGGUGGAUCAGUGGCGAACGGGUGAGUAACACGUGAGCAAUCUGCCCUUGACUCUGGGAUAACUUCGGGAAACCGGAGCUAAUACCGGAUAUGACGCAUGGCCGCAUGGUCUGUGUGUGGAAAGAUUUAUUGGUCAGGGAUGAGCUCGCGGCCUAUCAGCUUGUUGGUGGGUAAUGGCCUACCAAGGCGACG